rnacentral:rRNA from 1 species
UGGAGGUUGUGGCUUCCGGAGCUAACGCGUUAAGUCGACCGCCUGGGGAGUACGGCCGCAAGGUUAAAACUCAAAUGAAUUGACGGGGGCCCGCACAAGCGGUGGAGCAUGUGGUUUAAUUCGAUGCAACGCGAAGAACCUUACCUGGUCUUGACAUCCAGGUGCUGCAUGGCUGUCGUCAGCUCGUGUUGUGAAAUGUUGGGUUAAGUCCCGCAACGAGCGCAACCCUUAUCCUUUGUUGCAACUCAAAGGAGACUGCCAGUGAUAAACUGGAGGAAGGUGGGGAUGACGUCAAGUCAUCAUGGCCCUUACGACCAGGGCUACACACGUGCUACAAUGGCGCAUACAAAGAGAAGCGACCUCGCGAGAGCAAGCGGACCUCAUAAAGUGCGUCGUAGUCCGGAUUGGAGUCUGCAACUCGACUCCAUGAAGUCGGAAUCGCUAGUAAUCGUGGAUCAGAUGCCACGGUGAAUACGUUCCCGGGCCUUGUACACACCGCCCGUCACACCAUGGGAGUGGGUUGCAAAAGAAGUAGGUUACCACUUUGUGAUUCAUGACUGGGGUGAAGUCGUAACAAGGUAACCGA